rnacentral:lncRNA from 1 species
CAAACUUUUCAAAAAAAUCUUCAAAAUGAAAGCAAUCCUUUAUGAACUCUAACAAUAUAUCAAUAUUUAAGAUCUUAAAGAGCAUUUUCAUUUUUUCAAGGUAUUCAUAUAUAUUUUCUAUGCUCAGUGCUCACAUACAAUUUUAUUACUGUGUCCUACUUUUUGGUUGAUUUAACGAGGGCUUUCACACGUGUGGUGGAUUUCAUUAGAAUUUCCCAGAUGUGUGUAAGGAUCUCCACACCUCCUCCUAAAGUUCCAUCUCUACUUUCUCCAACACCAAUCGCCGCCUCUACCUCUCCAUCAAAUCUGCUCCGGACCAUGUCUCUCCCUAUAUUUGAAAUGUGAGGUCCAACUUAUGUUAGAUUUAAAAUUAUUGUUGUGCUUUUUCUUCGAUCAUUUUUUUUCUCUGAUUGUUUCUUCUGAUUCCAAUAAUAUAGUUUUAAGAAAUUUUUCGCCAUUGCUUCUAAGUUGGAUAAAAAAUUAGUGGCCGAAGAAACAAGAAUGUAAUGUAAGUUAUGAAGCUCGAGAACCCAAUUGAAAAAGAAUCAAAGGAUAAAGUUUUACCGCCGAAAUUUGUGCUGAAAGUCUCAA